rnacentral:rRNA from 1 species
AUUGAACGCUGGCGGAAUGCUUUACACAUGCAAGUCGAACGGCAGCACGGACUUCGGUCUGGUGGCGAGUGGCGAACGGGUGAGUAAUGUAUCGGAACGUGCCCAGUCGUGGGGGAUAACGUAGUGAAAAUUACGCUAAUACCGCAUACGAUCUAUGGAUGAAAGCGGGGGAUCGCAAGACCUCGCGCGAUUGGAGCGGCCGAUAUCAGAUUAGGUAGUUGGUGGGGUAAAGGCCCACCAAGCCAACGAUCUGGAGCUGGUCUGAGAGGACGACCAGGCACACUGGAACGGAGACACGGGCCAGACUCCUACGGGAGGCAGCAGUGGGGAAUCUUGGACAAUGGGCGAAAGCCUGAUCCAGCCAUUCCGCGUGCAGGAUGAAGGCCCUCGGGUUGUAAACUGCUUUUGUACAGAACGAAAAGGUUUCUACUAAUACUAGGAGCUCAUGACGGUACUGUAAGAAUAAGCACCGGCUAACUACGUGCCAGCAGCCGCGGUAA